AGUUUGAUUAUGGCUCAAGAUGAACGCUAGCUACAGGCUUAACACAUGCAAGUCGAGGGGAAACGAUGAGAGAGCUUGCUCUUUCAGGCGUCGACCGGCGCACGGGUGAGUAACGCGUAUCCAACCUGCCCAUUACAGGGGAAUAACCUUGCGAAAGUAAGACUAAUGCCCCAUGGUAUUCUCAGCAGACAUCUAAUGAGGAUUAAAGAUUUAUCGGUAAUGGAUGGGGAUGCGUCUGAUUAGCUUGUUGGCGGGGUAACGGCCCACCAAGGCAACGAUCAGUAGGGGUUCUGAGAGGAAGGUCCCCCACAUUGGAACUGAGACACGGUCCAAACUCCUACGGGAGGCAGCAGUGAGGAAUAUUGGUCAAUGGGCGAGAGCCUGAACCAGCCAAGUAGCGUGCAGGAAGACGGCCCUAUGGGUUGUAAACUGCUUUUAUAGGGGAAUAAAGUGAUCUACGUGUAGUUUAUUGUAUGUACCCUAUGAAUAAGGACCGGCUAAUUCCGUGCCAGCAGCCGCGGUAAUACGGAAGGUUCGGGCGUUAUCCGGAUUUAUUGGGUUUAAAGGGAGCGUAGGCCGUAGAUUAAGCGUGUUGUGAAAUGUAGAUGCUCAACAUCUGACUUGCAGCGCGAACUGGUUUACUUGAGUGUGCACAACGUAGGCGGAAUUCGUCGUGUAGCGGUGAAAUGCUUAGAUAUGACGAAGAACUCCGAUUGCGAAGGCAGCUUACGGGAGCACAACUGACGCUGAAGCUCGAAGGUGCGGGUAUCAAACAGGAUUAGAUACCCUGGUAGUCCGCACAGUAAACGCUGGAUGCCCGCUGUUGGUUCAUUAGAGUCAGCGGCCAAGCGAAAGCAUUAAGCAUCCCACCUGGGGAGUACGCCGGCAACGGUGAAACUCAAAGGAAUUGACGGGGGCCCGCACAAGCGGAGGAACAUGUGGUUUAAUUCGAUGAUACGCGAGGAACCUUACCCGGGCUUGAAUUGCAGACGAACGCGGCAGAGAUGCCAAGGCCCUUCGGGGCGUCUGUGAAGGUGCUGCAUGGUUGUCGUCAGCUCGUGCCGUGAGGUGUCGGCUUAAGUGCCAUAACGAGCGCAACCCCUUUUCUUAGUUGCCAUCAGGUAAUGCUGGGCACUCUGGGAAUACUGCCACCGUAAGGUGUGAGGAAGGUGGGGAUGACGUCAAAUCAGCACGGCCCUUACGUCCGGGGCUACACACGUGUUACAAAUGGCCGGUACAGAGGGCAGGUUGCAUGUAAAUGCGAAUCGAAUCUUAAAAGCCGGUCCCAGUUCGGACUGAGUUCUGCAACCGGACCUCAGAUAGCUGGAUUUCGGCUAGUAAUCGGGCAUUCAGGCCAUGGCGGCGGUGAAUACUUUCCCGGGCCCGUGCACCCCCCCCCCG
rnacentral:rRNA from 1 species